AGGCUGUAGAAGAUGGCCGCUGGUGAGAGCCUUUACCGAGAUCGAGUUCCGUUCGGAAUAAUCACUCUGCAGCUUCGACGAAGCGGUGGCGUUCGUAGAGGA
rnacentral:sRNA from 1 species